UGCCGGAAAAAUCUGACAUGCCACCUCGAGAUUUUAACCAAGGAAAGACAAGUUGAUGUCCUUUGAUUUGAGGGGUCACUCACUACCGAACGAAAAUUAGGGACAUCGCUAUGAGAAGAAACGUUAACAUUGUCGCCUAUGGGAAAACAAUUAGUGGACUGUACCCAUAUUAGGAAACCUAUAAGUUCAUGGUGAUUGGUACAGGGAAAACAUGAGGUCCAUGCAGAUGGUAAUUAAAACUAUUGGCCAGCAAAUGCACACCCAUUUGAAUAAAUCUUUAAAAAGAACCAGCAAAAUGUGACAGUCGGCAAAAUAUAGGUUCCCGCAGACAGACGCAUUUUGCCGGAAAACGAAUCUGACAUGCCACCUCGAGAUUUUAACCAAGGAAAGACAAGUUGAUGUCCUUUGAUUUGAGGGGUCACUCACUACCGAACGAAAAUUAGGGACAUCGCUAUGAGAAGAAACGUUAACAUUGUCGCCUAUGGGAAAACAAUUAGUGGACUGUACCCAUAUUAGGAAACCUAUAAGUUCAUGGUGAUUGGUACAGGGAAAACAUGAGGUCCAUGCAGAUGGUAAUUAAAACUAUUGGCCAGCAAAUGCACACCCAUUUGAAUAAAUCUUGAAAAAGAACCAGCAAAAUGUGACAGUCGGCAAAAUAUAGGUUCCCGCAGACAGACGCAUUUUGCCGGAAAACGAAUCUGACAUGCCACCUCGAGAUUUUAACCAAGGAAAGACAAGUUGAUGUCCUUUGAUUUGAGGGGUCACUCACUACCGAACGAAAAUUAGGGACAUCGCUAUGAGAAGAAACGUUAACAUUGUCGCCUAUGGGAAAACAAUUAGUGGACUGUACC